GACGAACGCUGGCGGUGUGCUUCACACAUGCAAGUCGAACGAGGUAGCAAUACCUAGUGGCGGACGGGUGAGUAACGCGUGGGAAUCUGCCUUUAGAUGGGGGAUAACGGGUCGAAAGACUCGCUAAUACCGCAUAUGACGAAAGUUGAAAGGAGUAAUCCGUCUAAAGAUGAGCCCGCGUCCGAUUAGCUAGUUGGUAGAGUAAAAGCCUACCAAGGCGACGAUCGGUAGCUGGUCUGAGAGGAUGAUCAGCCACAAUGGGAACUAGAGACACGGCCCAUACUCCUACGGAGGCAGCAGUGGGAAUUUACGCAAUGGGCGAAAGCCUGACGUAGCGACACCGCGUGAGCGAAGAAGCCCCUGGGGUGUAAAGCUCUGUCAGCUGGAACGAAAAAAAUAGACGGUACCAGCAGAGGAAGCAUCGGCUAACUACGUGCCAGCAGCCGCGGUAAU
rnacentral:rRNA from 1 species